rnacentral:rRNA from 1 species
UACGUAGGGGGCAAGCGUUGUCCGGAAUCAUUGGGCGUAAAGAGCGCGUAGGCGGCCCGAUCAGUCCGCUGUGAAAGUCAAGGGCUUAACCCUUGAAUGCCGGUGGAUACUGUCGGGCUAGAGUCCGGAAGAGGAGAGUGGAAUUCCUGGUGUAGCGGUGAAAUGCGCAGAUAUCAGGAAGAACACCCGUGGCGAAGGCGGCUCUCUGGGACGGUACUGACGCUGAGACGCGAAAGCGUGGGGAGCGAACAGG